GACGAACGCUGGCGGCGUGCUUAACACAUGCAAGUCGAACGGAAAGGCACUGAUUUUGUGGGGUGCUCGAGUGGCGAACGGGUGCGUAACACGUGAGUAACCUGCCCUUGUCUUUGGGAUAGGUUCAGGAAACUGGGGCUACUACCGGAUAGGAGCUCAUGUUGCAUGGUGGGGGUUGGAAAGUUUCGGCGGUUGGGGAUGGACUGGCGGCUUACCAGCUAGUUGGUGGGGUAGUGGCUUACCAAGGCUUUGACGGGUCGCCGGCCGGAGAGGGUGACCGGCCACAUUAGGACUGAGAGACGGCCCAGACUCCUACGGGAGGCAGCAGUGGGGAAUAUUGCACAAUGGGCGGAAGCCUGAGGCAGCAACGCCGCGUGCGGGAUGACGGCCUGCUGGUUGUAAACCGCUUUCGCCUGUGACGAAGCGUGAGUGACGGUAAUGGGUAAAGAAGCACCGGCUAACUACGUG
rnacentral:rRNA from 1 species